rnacentral:rRNA from 1 species
UACGAAGGGGGCUAGCGUUGCUCGGAAUCACUGGGUGUAAAGGGUUCGUAGGCGGUGCGGCAAGUCGGGAGUGAAAUCUCUGGGCUUAACCCAGAGGCUGCUUCCGAAACUGCUGUGCUUGAGUGUGGGAGAGGCGCGUGGAAUUGCAGGUGUAGCGGUGAAAUGCGUAGAUAUCUGCAGGAACACCCGUGGCGAAAGCGGCGCGCUGGACCACUACUGACGCUGAGGAACGAAAGCUAGGGGAGCAAACAGG